CUCAGCUGGAUAGAGCAUCGGAUUUCGAUUCCGAGGGUCGGGAGUUCGAAUCUCUCGCCGCCUACCA
rnacentral:tRNA from 1 species